UCCAGACUCCUACGGGAGGCAGCAGUGGGGAAUCUUCCGCAAUGGGCGCAAGCCUGACGGAGCAAUGCCGCGUGAACGAAGAAGGUCUUCGGAUUGUAAAGUUCUGUCCUUAUCGAAGAGAGGGUAUAGAGUGAAAAAUGAUAUACUAGGACGGUAGAUGAGGAGGAAGCCCCGGCUAACUACGUGCCAGCAGCCGCGGUAAUACGUAGGGGGCGAGCGUUAUCCGGAUUUACUGGGUGUAAAGGGAGCGUAGACGGCGGUGCAAGCCAGAUGUGAAAGCCCGGGGCUCAACCCCGGGACUGCAUUUGGAACUGUGCUGCUAGAGUGUCGGAGAGGCAGGCGGAAUUCCUAGUGUAGCGGUGAAAUGCGUAGAUAUUAGGAGGAACACCGGUGGCGAGGGCGGCCUGCUGGACUGCGACUGACGUUGAGGCCCGAAAGCGUGGGGAGCAAACAGGAUUAGAUACCCUUGUAGA
rnacentral:rRNA from 1 species